AACGAACGCUGGCGGCAGGCCUAACACAUGCAAGUCGAGCGAGAAAGCACCUUCGGGUGUGAGUAGAGCGGCGCACGGGUGAGUAACGCGUGGGAACGUGCCCUGUAGUACGGAAUAGCCUCGGGAAACUGGGUUUAAUACCGUAUACGCCCUUCGGGGGAAAGAAUUUCGGUGAAGGAUCGGCCCGCGUUGGAUUAGGUAGUUGGUGCGGUAACGGCGCACCAAGCCGACGAUCCAUAGCUGGUUUGAGAGGAUGAUCAGCAACACUGGGACUGAGACACGGCCCAGACUCCUACGGGAGGCAGCAGUGGGGAAUCUUAGACAAUGGGGGAAACCCUGAUCUAGCCAUGCCGCGUGAGUGACGAAGGCCCUAGGGUCUAAAAGCUCUUUCACCAGGGAAGAUAAUGACGGUACCUGGAGAAGAAA
rnacentral:rRNA from 1 species